rnacentral:piRNA from 1 species
UCCGGUUCUGUCUGUCUUCCAGGUUGCCUU